rnacentral:rRNA from 1 species
AAGCUCAGUAACACGUGGCCAAACUACCCUGUGGAUGGGAACAAUCUCGGGAAACUGAGGCUAAUUCCCAAUAACGCUCCCCCGCUGGAACGGGCGGAGCUGGAAACGCUACGGCGCCGCAGGAUGUGGCUGCGGUCGAUUAGGUAGACGGUGGGGUAACGGCCCACCGUGCCAAUAAUCGGUACGGGUUGUGAGAGCAAGAGCCCGGAGACGGAAUCUGAGACAAGAUUCCGGGCCCUACGGGGCGCAGCAGGCGCGAAACCUUUACACUGUACGCCAGUGCGAUAAGGGGACUCCGAGUGUGAAGGCAUAUAGCCUUCACUUUUGUGCACCGUAAGGUGGUGUACGAAUAAGGGCUGGGCAAGACCGGUGCCAGCCGCCGCGGUAAUACCGGCAGCCCGAGUGAUGGCCGAUAUUAUUGGGCCUAAAGCGUCCGUAGCUGGCCGGACAAGUCCGUUGGGAAAUCUGUUCGCUCAACGAGCCGGCGUCCAGCGGAAACUGUUCGGCUUGGGACCGGAAGACCUGAGGGGUACGUCCGGGGUAGGAGUGAAAUCCUGUAAUCCUGGACGGACCACCGGUGGCGAAAGCGCCUCAGGAGGACGGAUCCGACAGUGAGGGACGAAAGCUAGGGUCUCGAACCGGAUUAGAUACCCGGGUAGUCCUAGCUGUAAACGAUGCUCGCUAGGUGUGGCGCAGGCUACGAGCCUGCGCUGUGCCGUAGGGAAGCCGAGAAGCGAGCCGCCUGGGAAGUACGUCUGCAAGGAUGAAACUUAAAGGAAUUGGCGGGGGAGCACUACAACCGGAGGAGCCUGCGGUUUAAUUGGACUCAACGCCGGAAAUCUCACCGGUCCCGACAGUAGUAAUGACGGUCAGGUUGAUGACUUUACCCGAUGCUACUGAAAGGAGGUGCAUGGCCCCCGUCACCUCGUACCGUGAGGCGUCCUGUUAAGUCAGGCAAC